GAGUUUGAUCGUGGCUCAGAGUGAACGCUGGCGGUAGGCCUAACACAUGCAAGUCGAACGGCAGCACAGUAAGAGCUUGCUCUUAUGGGUGGCGAGUGGCGGACGGGUGAGGAAUACAUCGGAAUCUACUUUUUCGUGGGGAUAACGUAGGGAAACUUACGCUAAUACCGCAUACGACCUACGGGUGAAAGCAGGGGAUCUUCGGACCUUGCGCGAUUGAAUGAGCCGAUGUCGGAUUAGCUAG
rnacentral:rRNA from 1 species